rnacentral:lncRNA from 1 species
UUUGGUUACAUCUGGAAGUUCUAAAAUCCAUUUUUAUAGGAAGUCACACACUGGAGAGGGUGGGGGAGGACGGAGAAGUCAAGCAGGCCAAGAUUUGAAACUGGUGGAUGGACGGCUUCUCAGGGAACAGACACAACACUAUCGGACCCUCCCACUCAGAAUCCUUAUGCGUUAAACCUGCUCAAGAAUAUGUGCUUACCUGUUGACAACCCUCCCAGUUCCCAGCUGCCACUGGAUGUCCCUCCUAGCCAAUGCUGAAAUGCAAUCACAUUUGCCAUCCUUCUUGGGGUCUCUGAAGAGUAAAUAGAUGCUCAGGUACCCCUGCCCAGCACCCCCAGCGUUAGCACAUCAGAGGCGAUUGUUUCCAAACCUGGCCUUGAUUUUGCACCUGGGUGUGUUUGUGUGACUCUGACGAUGAUGGAGGGGCUUGUUGACUCAUACUAUGUCAGACAUGGCUUCUUGGUGGCAGUUCUGUAAGAAUCUGAGUUUGUCGCUGCUUUAUUUCAGCCUUCUGCUGUCCUCCUAGAGCUUCGGGUCUGAACUUCCUUACUCGUCCUGGCUUCCCAGUCACCACACCCCCUUUUGUCUUCUGUCUGGAUUGAUUUCAACAAUGGGAAGACCUUGAGGCUCUCUGUAGUAACACUGCAGUCCAAUAUACUAUAUUAAUGUUGUGACAGAUAUACCCCAUGGUGACCCGUCAUCAGUCAUACCUUCGUGUUAAUCCCUUUGUCUACUGUGGAAACCAUGAUCUUCUUACCAAUUCAAUAUGGCAAAGGUGACGGGAUGCCAUUCCCAUGGUUGUUGCGUGGCAACGAUGAAAGGAUUUUAAGAUGUAAUUAAGGUUCCUAAUCUAUUGACUUUGAGUUAGUUAAAAGAUGGAUUAUCCCUGGGUGGGUCUCACCAUAUUAAAAAUGAAAGCUUAUUAAAAAUAAGCUUUUAAAAGAAGAUUCAAUCCAUCCCUGAAGUUAGGAGCUCCUAGUAACAGAGACUGUCAUUCAUUCAUUCUCUCUCUCUCUCUCUCUCUCUCCC